UGUGAAAUACACAGUAACAAUUGAAUGCUUCUUGUUUACAACCGCGAACCUGCGUUGGUCGGAGUUUACUUCUUCAUUCAGUCAGUUUAAAUCUGUAGGAGCGUCAAUAACUAAAAAAAUAAUGUGGAGUGAACAGUUUGCGUGGGUUUUUAUACUGGCUACCGUUUCAGUAGACGUUUCAGAUAGCACUUACUAUAUAAGUGAGAGAGAAUCCAAAUGGAACGAUACAGGCUGCACGCUUGCUGUCCCAAACUUGGCGUAUUCGUUAGACAGCGGGUGGCAAUUGAACGAGUCAUUGCCAGAUAUCAAUGGAAAUGGAGCUUGGGUUGGCUACCUUAAUGCUACUGUAGCUUUAGAUUACCUUGGAUGUGCCAUUAACAAUACAAAUGAAACAAUACAUGUGAAACGCCUUGGUGAUUGCGGCCAUCUGUGCAUGGGAACUGCCUUUGGAGUUCAAACAUCAAACGUCAGUAUAAUAGUAUUCGGU